rnacentral:lncRNA from 1 species
AGUUGAUGAGGUUGAGUCCCUUGGAUGAUGGUGUUCACCCAGGAUUUUUUUCUUAUAUCACCAUGGAGUGCAAGCCCUUUGUACUCGUGAUGAUGGCCAAAGAUAGGACCUGUUGUUGCUGGUAACCUGGGAUCCUUGGGCUGUUGAUCAGAUUGUGAGAUACUGCCACCUCCCAUGGAACAUCAUCUUUUCCCAGAAAGAUUUUAAGAGGGCCCAUCUUGACAGUUUUAACUGUGUUUGACAUGUGUGAUAAGAAAGGUAAAACAAGAAAUUCUUCCCAAUGAAUACUGGUAACCAUG